rnacentral:tRNA from 2 species
GCAGCCGUAGUGUAGCCCGGUUAACACGCCUCCCUGUCACGGAGGAGAUCGUGGGUUCAAAUCCCAUCGGCUGCGCCC